CAGUCACACUAGGCUAGGUGACUUUACCCUUGCACAGGAUUCUCGACCCUUACCUCAGGAUCAGCCCUUGAUCAGGACGACUAGUCCUAGCCUACGCGCGUUGUUGCAGCGCAGAAAUUUCUAAUGGAGCCCAUCAUGCCCACCACUGAAGCUAUUUCUAGUAACAUGGAGUCAACGAGUGGCCCUUUCCCAUGAAAUAUACAAAUGAGGCAGGAGCAUGCACAUUACUACCACAGGAAUUCUUUGUCAAGCAGCAGAGAGCAAAAGAGACGAGAAUGUCUUGGUACGCAUUUGGGAUAAAGACUGUGUUAUUCUGGAGGUUUGAUAUCGCACCUCUGGUUACAAAUCAUACAGUCAGUUCCUGACAAGGAGAAGCAAGGAUCCUGAAGGGGUUGUGAUGGGAAGAUCUGUUUAGAUGAAGUGUCCAGUAUAAAGAGCGUUGCUUACUGUCAGAUUGUAUUAAAGGAGUGAACUUCAGAUGGAGCACCAAGAGGCCUACGAGAUGUUCAACAGAGAUAGUGAUUGAUGGCUAGGUUGAAGUGCUGGCUCAAAAGAGAUUAUCCUCAGCUCUGCUCCCACACGCCUUUCUGGAGAAACAAGUGUAAGAUUGUCAACUCCUCCACAUCGUCAUCAAGAACUUUGGCCGAAUCUUUGGACAUUUCAGAGCAUGGUUCAUUAACCGACAUGUCUGACUUGGAAACUGGUACAGAUGCUCCCACGUCUUCAUACGUUGUUACAUGACAGGAUGACACUCUGUAGUUAAUAAUUUUUGAUUGAUAAUAAUGAAAAAAUGCUCCGGGGUUCCAAUUUGUAGCCCUCUUCAGCGUUGUCUUUUGAAGGAAGCACGAAGCAUCUUGAUUUCAUAGCUGUCCUGUUCAUUAGAGUUGCUUCCUUUACCUUUGCAUUAUGAAUUUGAUUUAUAAAAAUAGCAUUACAUCUGAAUUAAAUGUGCUCUUUUGAUAAUCAACGUAACCGGUGAAAUUAACCUUUUGGGGACAUUUUUCUUAAUGCCUUGUGUCAUAAUCGUAUGGCCCGUUCCAGAUAGUAACACCAAAGUAUGAAUAAGUCAUUUGAUUUGGAAUUGGGGGCCAUUUUUAGCACCUAAUGAUUGGCUGUAACAAGGGGGGCGUCUGUCGGAAACAAAAUUACAUUAGGAGUACAUUGAGUGAAGUUCC